rnacentral:rRNA from 1 species
UACGUAGGGUGCGAGCGUUUGUCCGGAAUUAUUGGGCGUAAAGAGCUCGUAGGCGGUGUGUCACGUCGUUCGUGAAAACCUGCAGCUUAACUGUGGGCGUGCGGUCGAUACGGGCAUCACUGGAGUUCGGCAGGGGGAGACUGGAAUUCCUGGUGUAGCGGUGAAAUGCGCAGAUAUCAGGAGGAACACCGGUGGCGAAGGCGGCUCUCUGGACCACAACUGACGCUGAGGCGCGAAAAGCGUGGGGGAGCAAACAGG